GUGGAUGUGAAAUGAUUUUUAGAAUUCUUAGUGGUCCUCUUCUUUAGGAGACCAUUCCUAGGGAAUAAUACAAGAAGAUUUAAGUAUCAUAAAACUUUGGAAUGGACAAACUCAGAAUGGUGCUACAUGAAAACUCUGGAUCUACUGAAUUUAGAAGAUGUUCUGCCCACUUAAGUCCCUUCACUAUUGCUGUGGUCUCAGUUCUCAGUGCCUGUUUGGUCACCCGUUCUCUUGGAGGAACAGACAAGGAGCUGAGGCUAACGGCUGGUGAAAACAAGUGUUCUGGGAGAGUGGAGGUGAAAGUCCAGGAGGAGUGGGGAACUGUGUGUAAUAAUGGCUGGGACUUGUCCGCAGUCUCCGUUGUUUGUAGGCAGCUGGGAUGUCCAACUGUUAUCAAAGCCACUGGAUGGGCUAAUUCCAGUGCAGGCUCUGGACGCAUUUGGAUGGAUCAUGUUUCUUGUCGAGGGAAUGAAUCAGCUCUCUGGGAUUGCAAACAUGAUGGGUGGGGAAAGCAUAACUGUACUCACCAACAGGAUGUUGGAAUCACCUGCUCAGAUGGAUCUGAUUUGGAGAUGAGGCUGAUGAAUGGAGGAAACCGGUGCUCAGGAAGAAUAGAGGUCAAAUUCCAAGGACAGUGGGGAACUGUGUGUGACGAUAACUUCAACAUAGAUCAUGCUUCUGUGGUUUGUAAACAACUUGAAUGUGGAAGUGCUGUCAGUUUCUCUGGUUCAGCUAAUUUUGGAGAAGGUUCUGGACCAAUCUGGUUUGAUGAUCUUGUAUGCAAUGGAAAUGAGUCAGCUCUCUGGAACUGCAAACAUGAAGGAUGGGGAAAGCAUAAUUGCGAUCAUGCUGAGGAUGCUGGAGUGAUUUGCUUAGAGGGAGCAGACCUGAGCCUGAGACUGGUAGAUGGAGUCACUGAAUGUUCAGGAAGAUUAGAAGUGAAAUUCCAAGGAGAAUGGGGGACAGUGUGUGACGAUGGCUGGGAUAGUAACGAUGCCGCUGUGGCAUGUAAGCAACUGGGAUGUCCAACUGCCGUCACUGCCAUUGGUCGAGUCAACGCCAGUGAAGGAAUUGGACACAUUUGGCUUGACAGUGUUUCCUGCCAUGGACAUGAGUCUGCUCUCUGGCAAUGUAAACACCAAGAAUGGGGAAAGCAUUAUUGCAAUCAUAAUGAAGAUGCUGGUGUGACGUGUUCUGAUGGAUCAGAUCUGGGACUGAGACUUAAAGGUGGAGGCAGCCACUGUGCUGGGACAGUGGAGGUGGAAAUUCAGAAAUUGAUAGGGAAAGUGUGUGACAGAGGCUGGGGACUGAAAGAAGCUGAUGUGGUUUGCAGGCAGCUGGGAUGUGGAUCUGCGCUCAAAACAUCCUAUCAAGCUUAUUCCAAAAUUAAGGCAACAAACACAUGGCUGUUUUUAAGCAGCUGUAAUGGAAAUGAAACUUCUCUUUGGGACUGCAAGAAUUGGCAAUGGGGUGGACUUAGUUGUGAUCACUAUGAUGAAGCCAAAGUUACCUGCUCAGCCCACAGGGAACCCAAACUAGUCGGAGGGGACAUUCCCUGCUCUGGUCGUGUUGAAGUGAAACAUGGCGACACCUGGGGCACCGUCUGUGAUUCUGACUUCUCUCUGGAAGCGGCCAGUGUGCUAUGCAGGGAAUUACAAUGCGGCACAGUCGUCUCUAUCCUGGGGGGAGCUCACUUUGGAGAAGGAAAUGGACAGAUCUGGGCUGAAGAAUUCCAGUGUGAGGGGCACGAGUCCCAUCUUUCACUCUGCCCAGUAGCACCCCGCCCAGACGGGACUUGUAGUCACAGCAGGGAUGUUGGAGUAGUCUGCUCAAGAUACACAGAAGUUCGCUUGGUUAAUGGCCAGUCCCCAUGUGAAGGAAGAGUGGAGCUCAAGAUUCUUGGGACCUGGGGAUCUCUCUGCAACUCACACUGGGACAUGGAAGAUGCUCACGUUUUUUGCCAGCAGCUUAAAUGUGGAGUUGCCCUUUCUGCCCCAAGAGGAGCACCUUUUGGGAAAGGAAGUGGGCAGGUCUGGAGGCACAUGUUUCACUGCACUGGGACUGAGCGUCACAUGGGAGAUUGUCCCAUGACUGCUCUGGGUGCAUCGCUAUGUCCUUUGGGGCAAGUGGCCUCUGUAAUCUGCUCAGGAAACCAGAGUCAGACGUUACCCCCGUGCAAUUCAUCAUCCUCGGACCCAACAAGCUCUAUUUUUUCAGAAGAAAGUGGUGUUCCCUGCAUAGGGAGUGGUCAACUUCGCCUGGUAAAUGGAGGCGGGCGUUGUGCUGGCAGAAUAGAGAUCUAUCAUGAGGGCUCCUGGGGCACCAUCUGUGAUGACAGCUGGGACCUGAAUGAUGCCCACGUGGUGUGCAAACAGCUGGGCUGUGGAGGGGCCAUUAAUGCCAUUGGUUCUGCUCAUUUUGGGGAAGGAACAGGGCCCAUCUGGCUGGAUGAGGUGAACUGUAAUGGAAAAGAAUCUCGUAUUUGGCAAUGCCAUUCCCAUGGCUGGGGGCGCCACAACUGCAGGCAUAAGGAGGAUGCAGGAGUUAUCUGCUCAGAGUUCAUGUCUCUGAGACUCAUCAGUGAAACCAGCAGAGAGACCUGUGCAGGACGCCUGGAAGUUUUUUACAAUGGAGCUUGGGGCAGCGUUGGCAAGAGUAACAUGUCUGCAGCCACGGUGGGAGUGGUAUGCAGGCAGCUGGGCUGUGCGGACAAAGGGAGCAUCAUCCCUGCAUCUUCAGACAAGACGAUGUCCAGGCACAUGUGGGUGGACAAUGUUCAGUGUCCUAAAGGGCCUGACACCUUAUGGCAGUGCCCAUCAUCUCCAUGGAAGAAGAGACUGGCCAGCCCCUCGGAGGAGACCUGGAUCACGUGUGCCAACAAAAUAAGACUUCAGGAAGGAACCACUAAUUGUUCUGGACGUGUGGAGGUCUGGCACGGAGGUUCCUGGGGCACAGUAUGUGAUGACUCCUGGGACCUUGACGAUGCUCAGGUGGUGUGUCGACAGCUGGGCUGUGGCUUAGCUUUGGAGGCAGGAAAAGAGGCGGCGUUUGGCCAGGGGACGGGGCCCAUAUGGCUCAAUGACGUGAAGUGCAAGGGGAAUGAGUCCUCCCUGUGGGACUGUCCUGCCCUAUCCUGGGGCCACAGUGACUGUGGGCACAAGGAGGACGCUUCUGUGAAGUGCUCAGAAAUUGCAAAGAAUGAAGGAUCACUAAAUGCCACAGGUCACUCAUCCGUUGUUGCACUUGGGAUCCUUGGGGUCAUUCUGUUCGCCUCUCUCACCGUACUCCUCUUGUGGAUUCAGAAGCGAAGACAGAGACAGCGGCUUACAGUUUCCUCGAGAGGAGAGAAUUCUGUCCACCAAAUUCAAUACCGGGAGAUGAAUUCUUGCCUGAAGGCAGAUGAUCUGGACCUACAGAAUUCCUCAGAAAAUUCCAAUGAGUAAGAUGGUUUUAAUGAUGCUGGACUAAUUUCUGUGUCUAAAUCUCUUCCUAUUUCUGGAUGAAAAAAGCAGACCACUCUGAGGUACAAUGAAAAGGAAAAUGGGAAUUAUAACUCAGUGAGUUCAGCAUUUAAGAUACCUUGAUGAAGACCUGGACUAUUGAAUGAGCAAGAAUCUACCUGUAUACUGAAGAUUACAGUACAGUCCUUUGUCUCCUAGUAUUCCAAAGACCACUGAUGAAUUUCUAAAAAUUAAAUUGGUGAAUGUGACCACUAAAAAUUGUAUGUAAGACUUUCAAGGGUAUUAAAAGGAAUACCCUUUUAAUAAAUAAAUAAAAAGGAAUAUUGCUGAUUUGAA